UACGGGGGGGGCAAGCGUUGUUCGGAAUUACUGGGCGUAAAGGGCGCGUAGGCGGCGCGGUAAGUCCGUGGUGAAAGCCCGAGGCUCAACUUCGGGUCGGCCAUGGAUACUCCUGGGCUUGAGCACUGUAGAGGCAGGUGGAAUUCCGGGUGUAGCGGUGGAAUGCGUAGAGAUCCGGAAGAACACCGGUGGCGAAGGCGGCCUGCUGGGCAGUAGCUGACGCUGAGGCGCGACAGCGUGGGGAGCAAACAGG
rnacentral:rRNA from 1 species